rnacentral:rRNA from 1 species
UGGGAAUUCCUCGUGUUGCAACCC